GACGAACGCUGGCGGCGUGCCUAAUACAUGCAAGUCGAGCGAGCUUGCCUAGAUGAAUUUGGUGCUUGCACCAAAUGAAACUAGAUACAAGCGAGCGGCGGACGGGUGAGUAACACGUGGGUAACCUGCCCAAGAGACUGGGAUAACACCUGGAAACAGAUGCUAAUACCGGAUAACAACACUAGACGCAUGUCUAGAGUUUAAAAGAUGGUUCUGCUAUCACUCUUGGAUGGACCUGCGGUGCAUUAGCUAGUUGGUAAGGUAACGGCUUACCAAGGCAAUGAUGCAUAGCCGAGUUGAGAGACUGAUCGGCCACAUUGGGACCGAGACACGGCCCAAACUCCUACGGGAGGCAGCAGUAGGGAAUCUUCCACAAUGGACGCGAGUCUGAUGGAGCAACGCCGCGUGAGUGAAGAAGGGUUUCGGCUCGUAAAGCUCUGUUGGUAGUGAAGAAAGAUAGAGGUAGUAACUGGCCUUUAUUUGACGGUAAUUACUUAGAAAGUCACGGCUAACUACGUGCCAGCAGCCGCGGUAAUACGUAGGUGGCAAGCGUUGUCCGGAUUUAUUGGGCGUAAAGCGAGUGCAGGCGGUUCAAUAAGUCUGAUGUGAAAGCCUUCGGCUCAACCGGAGAAUUGCAUCAGAAACUGUUGAACUUGAGUGCAGAAGAGGAGAGUGGAACUCCAUGUGUAGCGGUGGAAUGCGUAGAUAUAUGGAAGAACACCAGUGGCGAAGGCGGCUCUCUGGUCUGCAACUGACGCUGAGGCUCGAAAGCAUGGGUAGCGAACAGG
rnacentral:rRNA from 1 species